AGUGAACGCUGGCGGCAGGCCUAAUACAUGCAAGUCGAACGGCAGCACAGUGGAGCUUGCUCCAUGGGUGGCGAGUGGCGGACGGGUGAGGAAUACAUGGGAAUCUGCCCAGUCGUGGGGGAUAACGUAGGGAAACUUACGCUAAUACCGCAUGCGCCCUUCGGGGGAAAGCCGGGGACCUUCGGGCCUGGCGCGAUUGGAUGAGCCCAUGUUCGAUUAGCUAGUUGGCGGGGUAAAGGCCCACCAAGGCGACGAUCGAUACCUGGUCUGAGAGGAUGAUCAGCCACACUGGGACUGAGACACGGCCCAGACUCCUACGGGAGGCAGCAGUAGGGAAUAUUGGACAAUGGGCGCAAGCCUGAUCCAGCCAUGCCGCGUGAGUGAAGAAGGCCCUCGGGUUGUAAAGCUCUUUUGUCCGGGAAGAAAAGCAUCGGGCUAAUACCUCGGUGUUCUGACGGUACCGGAAGAAUAAGCACCGGCUAACUUCGUG
rnacentral:rRNA from 1 species